UACAGAGGUCCCAAGCGUUGUUCGGAUUCAUUGGGCGUAAAGGGUGCGUAGGCGGCGCGGUAAGUCGGGUGUGAAAUCUCGGAGCUUAACUCCGAAACUGCAUUUGAUACUGCCGUGCUUGAGGACUGGAGAGGAGACUGGAAUUUACGGUGUAGCGGUGAAAUUCGUAGAUAUUCGGAGGAACACCAGUGGCGAAGGCGGCUCACUGGUCCAUUACUGACGCUGAGGUGCGAAAGCGUGGGGAGCAAACAGG
rnacentral:rRNA from 1 species